GAUGAACGCUGGCGGCGUGCCUAAUACAUGCAAGUCGAGCGAACGGACGAGAAGCUUGCUUUUCUGAUGUUAGCGGCGGACGGGUGAGUAACACGUGGAUAACCUACCUAUAAGACUGGGAUAACUUCGGGAAACCGGAGCCAAUACCGGAUAAUAUUUUGAACCGCAUGGUUCAAAAGUGAAAGACGGUCUUGCUGUCACUUAUAGAUGGAUCCGCGCUGCAUUAGCUAGUUGGUAAGGUAACGGCUUACCAAGGCAACGAUGCAUAGCCGACCUGAGAGGGUGAUCGGCCACACUGGAACUGAGACACGGUCCAGACUCCUACGGGAGGCAGCAGUAGGGAAUCUUCCGCAAUGGGCGAAAGCCUGACGGAGCAACGCCGCGUGAGUGAUGAAGGUCUUCGGAUCGUAAAACUCUGUUAUUAGGGAAGAACAUAUGUGUAAGUAACUGUGCACAUCUUGACGGUACCUAAUCAGAAAGCCACGGCUAACUACGUGCCAGCAGCCGCGGUAAUACGUAGGUGGCAAGCGUUAUCCGGAAUUAUUGGGCGUAAAGCGCGCGUAGCGGUUUUUUAGUCUGAUGUGAAAGCCCACGGCUCAACCGUGGAGGGUCAUUGGAAACUGGAAAACUUGAGUGCAGAAGAGGAAAGUGGAAUUCCAUGUGUAGCGGUGAAAUGCGCAGAGAUAUGGAGGAACACCAGUGGCGAAGGCGACUUUCUGGUCUGUAACUGACGCUGAUGUGCGAAAGCGUGGGGAUCAAACAGGAUUAGAUACCCUGGUAGUCCACGCCGUAAACGAUGAGUGCUAAGUGUUAGGGGGUUUCCGCCCCUUAGUGCUGCAGCUAACGCAUUAAGCACUCCGCCUGGGGAGUACGACCGCAAGGUUGAAACUCAAAGGAAUUGACGGGGACCCGCACAAGCGGUGGAGCAUGUGGUUUAAUUCGAAGCAACGCGAAGAACCUUACCAAAUCUUGACAUCCUUUGACAACUCUAGAGAUAGAGCCUUCCCCUUCGGGGGACAAAGUGACAGGUGGUGCAUGGUUGUCGUCAGCUCGUGUCGUGAGAUGUUGGGUUAAGUCCCGCAACGAGCGCAACCCUUAAGCUUAGUUGCCAUCAUUAAGUUGGGCACUCUAAGUUGACUGCCGGUGACAAACCGGAGGAAGGUGGGGAUGACGUCAAAUCAUCAUGCCCCUUAUGAUUUGGGCUACACACGUGCUACAAUGGACAAUGCAAAGGGCAGCGAAACCGCGAGGUCAAGCAAAUCCCAUAAAGUUGUUCUCAGUUCGGAUUGUAGUCUGCAACUCGACUACAUGAAGCUGGAAUCGCUAGUAAUCGUAGAUCAGCAUGCUACGGUGAAUACGUUCCCGGGUCU
rnacentral:rRNA from 1 species